AUGUCGUCGUUCAUGGCGGCGUCGGUGCUGGCAUGGGUGUGCCUGCUGCGGAGCCGGUUCGUGGGCGUUGAAAGCGCGGCGCACAGCCACAUGCUGUUCUCGACGAGUGCCGGUCGAGGCUGGCGCCGCCGCUCCCCGCCGAGUACUUCGGCAACUGCUUGCGCCCGUGCUUCAUGGAGGCCACGAUGGAGCUCCUGA
rnacentral:rRNA from 1 species